UUUGCUGGUAAACAAAAUCCUUUGCUUCUUUCCCUUUGUUUCCAAAGCCCUCACACACUCUGGAAAACCUUAAUUCCUAUAUGCUUUUGAAGACUUAAAAUAAAGAAAGACACAAAGCCUUACCCCUACAUACAUUAUUUCUUAGUUCAAAACACCUAGUUUCCUUUAGGAGUUGUAUUCCACUCACUAGACUCAAGGUAAUUGUCCUGUGAGUCUCCCAGUGGGGGGUAUUAGAUCUCUCCACCUACAUCUCAAAUUUCUAGGUCAGAUCUGAGCACCCUCUGCCCAUGUUCCAUUUGCACACUGCAAAUAGGCCAUCACACCUAGGAUUCCUGAAUGUUGUUUAAUACAAGAAGAGGCUCUUGACAAAGAGGUGUCUGAUGAACAUUAUGAUCAGCAUGGGCUUGGUUUUGGUGGGGGGCGGGGCUUGAUUUUAUUCUUACUUCCUCUGUUUUUCCUGCCCCAGAGUUGCAGCCAACUGGCUAGACUAUCAUCUCUAGGUCUCUUGUUGGUCCACACAGGAGAAAUCUCAUAGACAGGAUUUCUAAUCCUGCAUCUGUGGCUGGAGUGGUAAGGCAGUUUCCCUCUGUCUUCCUGUGCAGCCUCAACAAGACCCAAAGAGGAGACACAGGUGCUGCGAUUAACUGGCACACUCCCAGGCCAUAGUCAACACCACGUGCUUAGAACAGAGGCUCAAUUUUAAUCCAUCUGAGACACCAUUUCAGGAAUCAGCCAAUAUACAGACAUGUAAUCAAUGUAAUGCUUUUGUGUGCUCAUAUGGGUCUUGAAUUGGUAAGUUUUCUGCAUUAAAAUAUUUAGAAUUUUCUGCAUAAAAUUUUAAGAAUUAUCCAAGACAAGUAUAAAUGUAAUCUUUUUUAUGGUAAAUGUUAUUUCAUGAGAAACACUGAAUACAUAAUUUCAGCUUCAAUGGUCAGGAGAUCCUGUGCUUUCAAGUUCACUGUUAGAAAUGCAAAAACGGUGACAGCAAAACUCUAUCAUCCCACCUCUCUUGCCUCAAUAUGGAUAAUUUUCUCUUUCAAAGGUUUUGUAAAUAAGACCUUUUGUCCAGUGUAUUUUAAAUAAUCGAUUUUUUUCUUUUCCUCAAGAAGACUAUUGAAGGGUUUAAUUAAGUUUUCCCUUAGGAAACAUCAAUCUUGACAUACAAAGAAAGACAAACUGAUGGCAGAUUGUAGAAGUAGGAAUAUUUCAUUUUUACAAAAUGAAAAACUAUAAAAACUAAAAGUACAAAAAUUACCCUUAAGCUAUUAAUAUGCAGUGAUUUGAAAUACGAGCAAUCCAUAAGAAACUGGUAAAAAGUUUUCUGUGUAUUUACUGUUUUUCCUGGGUUCUGAAUUCAGAACCCCACAUUCCUACUUUGACAGUCGACAACAUUACAACCAUGUAGAAAUAACUGUGAGGAUUCUACUGCAGAUAGUAUAAGUGAUGCAUGCUUUUGCAUAACUUGUAUCAGAGGUAACGCUAAAAAGGAACUGAGUCUCACAUAUUCACUCUUACUGGACCCAUGGAAGAACUCAAUAAUAAAGAUUUCAUGAAGGAACCUGGGCUGGAGUUCGGAAAACCUGGGAGUUAGAUCAAAUUAUUAGUCUGUUACCACACUAUUUUUAAAAAAAUAUAUUUUACUGAUUAUGCUAUUACAGUUGUCCCACCAUACUAUUUUUAUUAUCAUGGCUUUGUAGUAAAUUUGAAUCUGGUAAAGCAAAGUCUCCCCACAAUUUUUUAAAGUUUUUUUCUGAUUGUGAUACUCCUUAGUGUAAAACCCUUCCAUUGCUUCCCAGUGCUCACAGAUUCCCUUGUGGGUCCCUGUAGGACUGUAUUUUAGUAGAGUACAGAGUACAGUUUAGGGCAAAAGCUGACUACUCAAAAGUAGAGGAGGGUCAGUGUACCACCAAAGUCUCUUUCUCUGCCCUGGUUCCUCACCAGGUUCAUGCUUUCCUUUGAGUAAGUGUUGAACAAAUAUUUAACAAUGGUUACGCAAGGGUGCUGUGACAGAGGUCCCCAAGACCACUCCAAGUUCUGUGAUUCACUAGAACUCACAGAACUCAGCAUAUACUCAUAUUCAUGGCUAUGAUUUAUUAUAGUAAAAAGAUACAAAUCAAAAUCAGCAAAGGGAAAAGGAACAUGGGAUGAAAUACAGGGAGACCAGGCACAAGCUUCCAAAAGACCUCUCCCAGUGGAGUUACACAUGAUGCACUUAAUUUACCUAGCAACGAGUUGUGACAACACAUGCGAAAUAAUGGUUGCCCAGGG